CCUCAUCUGUCCCCUUCCCCCAGAGACCACUCUUCUGCACUGCCUCACAUCCAAUGUCUUGAAAACUGACUUGGUUUUUUCAUAUAUUUUGUUCCUCUAGUUAUCUCGGGGGGAAGGUAAAUUCCAUCCCCAUUACUUUGCUUAUGUGGAAGCACAAGUGCAGAGCAAGGAUUCUGGAAGUCUGAGGACUGGAUUCGAGCCGUAGACCCUCUGGCUGUCAGCCACUGAGGAGACACAGUCAGAGGAGCUCUCCAGACCCCAGCGCAUAGUUAUUCUCACGGGUGUCAUAGGUCCAUGGUGGGCCCAUCCCUUCCUGCCCUUUGAGUCUCUCCACUCACCCCUGAGGGGUGCUUCCGACAGAAGGCUGUGAAGACUAUUUCCGAAGGACACACGGGGGAAAUGUCAUUCAGAAUAAAACUGCUCAUUCGAAAAUAAGGUGCCCCUUGCCGAGAUGAUGAGCAGCCUCGGUGGAAAGACUCUGUUAAGAGGAUGAGAAGACCUACCACAGACCGGGAGAAAAUACAGUAAAACCUUGGAUUGCAAGUAACUUGUUCUGCGAGUGUUCCGCAAGACGAGC
rnacentral:lncRNA from 1 species